GAAGAACGCUAGCUACAGGCUUAACACAUGCAAGUCGAGGGGAAACGAUAGAGAAAGCUUGCUUUUUCUAGGCGUCGACCGGCGCACGGGUGAGUAACGCGUAUCCAACCUGCCCACCACUUGGGGAUAACCUUGCGAAAGUAAGACUAAUACCCAAUGAUAUCUCAAGCAGACAUCUGAAUGAGAUUAAAGAUUUAUCGGUGAUGGAUGGGGAUACGUCUGAUUAGCUUGUUGGCGGGGUAACGGCCCACCAAGGCGACGAUCAGUAGGGGUUCUGAGAGGAAGGUCCCCCACAUUGGAACUGAGACACGGUCCAAACUCCUACGGGAGGCAGCAGUGAGGAAUAUUGGUCAAUGGACGAGAGUCUGAACCAGCCAAGUAGCGUGCAGGAAGACGGCCCUAUAGGUUGUAAACUGCUUUUAUAAGGGAAUAAAGUGAGUCUCGUGAGACUUUUUGCAUGUACCUUAUGAAUAAGGACCGGCUAAUUCCGUGCCAGCAGCCGCCGCCG
rnacentral:rRNA from 1 species